AUUAGCCACUAAGGAGAGCAACUGACUCUUAAUCAGUGGGUCCUGGGUUCGAGUCCCCGAUGGUGCACCA
rnacentral:tRNA from 1 species